UGGGGAAUUUUGGACAAUGGGCGAAAGCUGAUCAGCAAUGCCGCGUGUGUGAAGAAGGCCUUCGGGUUGUAAAGCACUUUUGUCCGGAAAGAAAUCCUUGGCUCUAAUACAGUCGGGGGAUGACGGUACCGGAAGAAUAAGCACCGGCUAACUACGUGCCAGCAGCCGCGGUAAUACGUAGGGUGCAAGCGUUAAUCGGAAUUACUGGGCGUAAAGCGUGCGCAGGCGGUUUGCUAAGACCGAUGUGAAAUCCCCGGGCUCAACCUGGGAACUGCAUUGGUGACUGGCAGGCUAGAGUAUGGCAGAGGGGGGUAGAAUUCCACGUGUAGCAGUGAAAUGCGUAGAGAUGUGGAGGAAUACCGAUGGCGAAGGCAGCCCCCUGGGCCAAUACUGACGCUCAUGCACGAAAGCGUGGGGAGCAAACAGGAUUAGAUACCCUGGUAGUCCACGCCCUAAACGAUGUCAACUAGUUGUUGGGGAUUCAUUCCUUAGUAACGUAGCUAACGCGUGAAGUUGACCGCCUGGGGAGUACGGUCGCAAGAUUAAAACUUAAAUGAAUUGAC
rnacentral:rRNA from 1 species